rnacentral:pre_miRNA from 1 species
GUCUUAGAUUUGUCUAGAUAUGGAUGUAUCUAAUACUAAAAUGUGACUUGAUACAUCCGUAUCUAGAAAAAUCUAAGACAAGAAUUUUGGGACGGAGGGAGUACUUU